rnacentral:rRNA from 1 species
AGAGUUUGAUCCUGGCUCAGGAUGAACGCUGGCGGCGUGCCUAACACAUGCAAGUCGAGCGAUUCUCUUCGGAGAAGAGCGGCGGACGGGUGAGUAACGCGUGGGUAACCUGCCCUGUACACACGGAUAACAUACCGAAAGGUAUGCUAAUACGGGAUAACAUAUUUUGAUGGCAUCAUCGAAAUAUCAAAGCUCCGGCGGUACAGGAUGGACCCGCGUCUGAUUAGCUAGUUGGUGAGGUAAUGGCUCACCAAGGCGACGAUCAGUAGCCGACCUGAGAGGGUGAUCGGCCACAUUGGAACUGAGACACGGUCCAAACUCCUACGGGAGGCAGCAGUGGGGAAUAUUGCACAAUGGGCGAAAGCCUGAUGCAGCAACGCCGCGUGAGCGAUGAAGGCCUUCGGGUCGUAAAGCUCUGUCCUCAAGGAAGAUAAUGACGGUACUUGAGGAGGAAGCCCCGGCUAACUACGUGCCAGCAGCCGCGGUAAUACGUAGGGGGCUAGCGUUAUCCGGAAUUACUGGGCGUAAAGGGUGCGUAGGUGGUUUUUUAAGUCAGAAGUGAAAGGCUACGGCUCAACCGUAGUAAGCUUUUGAAACUGAGAAACUUGAGUGCAGGAGAGGAGAGUAGAAUUCCUAGUGUAGCGGUGAAAUGCGUAGAUAUUAGGAGGAAUACCAGUUGCGAAGGCGGCUCUCUGGACUGUAACUGACACUGAGGCACGAAAGCGUGGGGAGCAAACAGGAUUAGAUACCCUGGUAGUCCACGCCGUAAACGAUGAGUACUAGGUGUCGGGGGUUACCCCCCUCGGUGCCGCAGCUAACGCAUUAAGUACUCCGCCUGGGAAGUACGCUCGCAAGAGUGAAACUCAAAUGAAUUGACGG